CACCAGACUCCUACGGGAGGCAGCAGUGGGGAAUAUUGCACAAUGGGGGAAACCCUGAUGCAGCGACGCCGCGUGAGCGAUGAAGUAUUUCGGUAUGUAAAGCUCUAUCAGCAGGGAAGAAAAUGACGGUACCUGACUAAGAAGCCCCGGCUAACUACGUGCCAGCAGCCGCGGUAAUACGUAGGGGGCAAGCGUUAUCCGGAUUUACUGGGUGUAAAGGGAGCGUAGACGGCUGUGCAAGCCAGAUGUGAAAGCCCGGGGCUCAACCCCGGGACUGCAUUUGGAACUGUGUGGCUGGAGUGUCGGAGAGGCAGGCGGAAUUCCUAGUGUAGUGGUGAAAUGCGUAGAUAUUAGGAGGAACACCAGUGGCGAAGGCGGCCUGCUGGACGAUGACUGACGUUGAGGCUCGAAAGCGUGGGGAGCAAACAGGAUUAGAUACCCUAGUA
rnacentral:rRNA from 1 species